rnacentral:tmRNA from 1 species
GGGGCUGAUUCUGGAUUCGACGGGAUUUGCGAAACCCAAGGUGCAUGCCGAGGGGCGGUUGGCCUCGUAAAAAGCCGCAAAAAAUAGUCGCAAACGACGAAAACUACGCUUUAGCAGCUUAAUAACCUGCUUAGAGCCCUCUCUCCCUAGCCUCCGCUCUUAGGACGGGGAUCAAGAGAGGUCAAACCCAAAAGAGAUCGCGUGGAAGCCCUGCCUGGGGUUGAAGCGUUAAAACUUAAUCAGGCUAGUUUGUUAGUGGCGUGUUCGUCCGCAGCUGGCAAGCGAAUGUAAAGACUGACUAAGCAUGUAGUACCGAGGAUGUAGGAAUUUCGGACGCGGGUUCAACUCCCGCCAGCUCCACCA